rnacentral:rRNA from 1 species
CCUACGGGAGGCAGCAGUAAGGAAUAUUGGUCAAUGGAGGCAACUCUGAACCAGCCAUGCCGCGUGCAGGAAGACGGCCCUAUGGGUUGUAAACUGCUUUUGAACUAGAGAAAACCUUGGUACGUGUACCGAGUUGAUAGUAUAGUUAGAAUAAGCAUCGGCUAACUUCGUGCCAGCAGCCGCGGUAAGACGAAGGAUGCAAGCGUUAUCCGGAUUCAUUGGGUUUAAAGGGUGCGUAGGCGGACUGAUAAGUCAGUGGUGAAAUCUCUCAGCUUAACUGAGAAACUGCCAUUGAUACUGUUAGUCUAGAGUACAGAUGAUGUGGGCGGAAUAUGACAUGUAGUGGUGAAAUACUUAGAUAUGUCAUAGAACACCGAUUGCGAAGGCAGCUCACAAAACUGUAACUGACGCUGAGGCACGAAAGUGCGGGGAUCAAACAGGAUUAGAUACCCUGGUAGUCCGCACCGUAAACGAUGAUUACUCGUUGUUGGCGAUAUGACGAGUCGAGCGACCGACGACGAAACGAAGUAAAGUAAGUUACCACCGUACGGGUUAGGUUACGGCCGGCCGGACCGGUUACGGAACGUUAAAGUUAGUUAAGUUAGUUACGGACGUUGAGACGUUCGGACCGACGGACGACGACGGAGGGGAAGGUUAGGAG